CAGGAUGAACGCUAGCUACAGGCUUAACACAUGCAAGUCGAGGGGCAGCAUGAUCGAAGCUUGCUUUGAUUGAUGGCAACCGGCGCACGGGUGAGUAACGCGUAUCCAACCUUCCCUAUAGUAGAGAAUAGCCCGGCGAAAGUCGGAUUAAUGCUCUAUGUUGUAUUUAGAAGACAUCUGAAGAAUACCAAAGGUUUACCGCUAUAGGAUGGGGAUGCGUCUGAUUAGGUAGUAGGCGGGGUAACGGCCCACCUAGCCGACGAUCAGUAGGGGUUCUGAGAGGAAGGUCCCCCACAUUGGAACUGAGACACGGUCCAAACUCCUACGGGAGGCAGCAGUGAGGAAUAUUGGUCAAUGGACGGAAGUCUGAACCAGCCAAGUAAGCGUGCAGGAUGACGGCCCUAUGGGUUGUAAACUGCUUUUAUAUAGGGAUAAAGUCGGGGACGUGUCCCCGUUUGUAGGUACUAUAUGAAUAAGGACCGGCUAAUUCCGUGCCAGCCGCCGC
rnacentral:rRNA from 1 species